rnacentral:rRNA from 1 species
AGUGAACGCUGGCGGUAGGCCUAACACAUGCAAGUCGAACGGCAGCACAGUAAGAGCUUGCUCUUACGGGUGGCGAGUGGCGGACGGGUGAGGAAUACAUCGGAAUCUACUUUUUCGUGGGGGAUAACGUAGGGAAACUUACGCUAAUACCGCAUACGACCUACGGGUGAAAGCAGGGGAUCUUCGGACCUUGCGCGAUUGAAUGAGCCGAUGUCGGAUUAGCUAGUUGGCGGGGUAAAGGCCCACCAAGGCGACGAUCCGUAGCUGGUCUGAGAGGAUGAUCAGCCACACUGGAACUGAGACACGGUCCAGACUCCUACGGGAGGCAGCAGUGGGGAAUAUUGGACAAUGGGCGCAAGCCUGAUCCAGCCAUACCGCGUCAGUGAAGAAGGCCUUCGGGUUGUAAAGCCCUUUUGUUGGGAAAGAAAAGCAGCAGGUUAAUACCCCGCUGUUCUGACGGUACCCAAAGAAUAAGCGCCGGCUAACUUCGUG